UACACUGUACCUAACCUACAGCUGUAUUGGCCCACGAUCUAAUCCGAAUUUGUUAUACACAGAAUCUGCUGAGGAAUUUACUAAAAAUCUAUAAAGACAUUUGUCUCACGUAAAAAAUCUAUCGGCAAUAGUGAAGAAUUUGUUUACCAGUUGGUGCGCAUCAGAUGCAGAUUAAAAAAGAGGUUUCAAAGAAGAGGCAAUUUCAUUGAAUAAAAUCGGCGGACGUAACAGCCACGAAUUGCUAAUAAACAUUUUAAAAAGAGCGAUUACAAAUGAGCUAGCUAGGCAGUACAGUUGGACUGGCAAAUUGAAGAAAACAGCAUUCAAAGAUCUGUUGCUCUCGAAAUGUAUUCUACGAGCUGUGCGCAUAACGGAUGAUACAAUGACGGAGAACGAAAUUGUUCAAUAUAUCUCCAAGUGGCUUGUGCAAGCUACUUUAAGAAACGAACGUAAUCUUCAAGCAAACAAAACUAAAAGGCAAAGGACAACACAAGAAAAUGAAAAUAAAAAAGCAAAGCCAACAACUGAAGAUGACAAGCAAUAAGAUUAAAUAUAUUAAAUUGUUAUUAUAUUAUACUAUAUUAACACUAUAAAAAUAUUCAUGGAUACUUCCGACAUCGUCAGAAACGUC